rnacentral:rRNA from 1 species
AGCAGCCGCGGUAAUUCCAGCUCCAAUAGCGUAUAUUAAAGUUGUUGCAGUUAAAAAGCUCGUAGUUGAAUUUCGGGAUUUGUCAGUUGGUCGGGCUUCACUGUCCGUACUGACUUGAUGGAUUCUUACCUUCUGAAUAACCAGCAUGCUAUUUAGUUAGUGCGUUGGGGAAGCAGAUCUAUUACCUUGAAAAAAUUAGAGUGCUUAAAGCGGGCUAGUGCUUGAAUAGAUUAGCAUGGAAUAAUAAAAUAGGACGGCAUGGUUCUAUUUUGUUGGUUUCUAGGAUCACCGUAAUGAUUAAUAGGGAUAGUUGGGGGCAUUAGUAUUCAAUUGUCAGAGGUGAAAUUCUUGGAUUUAUUGAAGACUAACUUCUGCGAAAGCAUUUGCCAAGGAUGUUUUCAUUAAUCAAGAACGAAAGUUAGGGGAUCGAAGACGAUCAGAUACCGUCGUAGUCUUAACCAUAAACUAUGCCGACUAGGAAUCAGACGAUGUUAAUUUUUAAUGACUCG